AUAUUAGUAAUGGGCGAAAGCCUGAACUAGCAACGCCGCGUGUGCGAAGAAGGCCUUCGGGUUGUAAAGCACUUUUUGAGAGGAUGAGGAAGGACGGUAUUCUCAGAAUAAGUCUCGGCUAACUACGUGCUAGCAGCCGCGGUAAUACGAAGGAGGAGAAAGUUAUCCGGAUUUACUGGGCGUAAAGCGCGUGUAGAUGGUUUGGUAAGUAGGGCGUGAAAGAUCAUGGCUCAACUGGGAGGGGCCGUUCUAAACUGC
rnacentral:rRNA from 1 species